rnacentral:rRNA from 1 species
GUCUAUGGCCAUGCCACCUUGAACGUGCCCGAUCUUGUCUGAUCUCGGAAGCUAAGCAGAGUUGGGCCUGGUUAGUACUUGGGAGAUGGGAGACCACCUAGGACUAUCAAGGACUGUAGGCA